GACGAACGCUGGCGGCGUGCCUAAUACAUGCAAGUCGAACGCAGUGGGGACGGGUGAGGAACACGUGGGUAACCUCCCAUCAGAGGGGAUAACACGUGGAAACAGGUGCUAAACCGAUAUUGAAGGAUGGACCCGCUGUGCAUUGGCUAGCUGGUGAGGUAACGGCUCACCAAGGCCACGAGGCAUAGCCGACCGGAGAGGGUGACCGGCCACACGGGAAAUGAGACACGGCCCAGACGCCUGCGGGAGGCAGCAGUAGGGAAUAUUCGGCAAUGGACGAAAGUCUGACCGAGCAACGCCGCGUGUAUGAAGAAGGUUUUCGGAUCGUAAAGCUCUGUUGUUAGUGAGGCGUUAUCUGCCAAGGAAGCCACGGCUAACUACGUGCCAGCAGCCGCGGUAAUAC
rnacentral:rRNA from 1 species